rnacentral:rRNA from 1 species
CUACGAAGGGGGCAAGCGUUGUUCGGAAUAACUGGGCGUAAAGCGCACGUAGGCGGAAUGGUAAGUUAGAGGUGAAAUCCCAGGGCUCAACCCUGGAACGGCCUUUAAUACUGGCAAUCUAGAGACCGAGAGAGGUGAGUGGAAUUCCGAGUGUAGAGGUGAAAUUCGUAGAUAUUCGGAGGAACACCAGUGGCGAAGGCGGCUCACUGGCUCGGUACUGACGCUGAGGUGCGAAAGCGUGGGGAGCAAACAGGAUUAGAAACCCUAGUAGUCC